UACGUAGGGUGCGAGCGUUAAUCGGAAUUACUGGGCGUAAAGCGUGCGCAGGCGGUUUUGUAAGCCAGAUGUGAAAUCCCCGGGCUUAACCUGGGAAUGGCCGUUGAAACUGGCGAACUGGAGUGUGGCAGAGGGGGGUGGAAUUCCGCGUGUAGCAGUGAAAUGCGUAGAGAUGCGGAGGAACACCGAUGGCGAAGGCAGCCCCCUGGGCUAACACUGACGCUCAGGCACGAAAGCGUGGGGAGCAAACAGG
rnacentral:rRNA from 1 species